rnacentral:rRNA from 1 species
AUUGAACGCUGGCGGCAGGCCUAACACAGGCAAGUCGAGCGGCAGCGGAAGGAAGCUUGCUUUCUUGCCGGCGAGCGGCGGACGGGUGAGUAAGGUAUGGGGAUCUGGCCGAAGGCGGGGGAUAACCACUGGAAACGGUGGCUAAUACCGCAUAAUCUCUAAGGAGCAAAGUGGGGGACCGUUCAGGCCUCACACCUUCGGAUGAACCCAUAUGAGAUUAGCUAGUAGGUGGGGUAAUGGCUCACCUAGGCGACGAUCUCUAGCUGGUCUGAGAGGAUGAUCAGCCACACUGGGACUGAGACACGGCCCAGACUCCUACGGGAGUCAGCAGUGGGGAAUAUUGCACAAUGGGCGCAAGCCUGAUGCAGCCAUGCCGCGUGUAUGAAGAAGGCCUUCGGGUUGUAAAGUACUUUCAGUCGUGAGGAAGGUGUUAAGGUUAAUAACCUUAGCAAUUGACGUUAGCGACAGAAGAAGCACCGGCUAACUCCGUGCCAGCCGCCGCAGUAA